UCUGCCUGCUGGUUGCCACAUGCUCCUUGCACUGAGGCACCUGAUCAUCUUCCCUUCUGUGAACAGCCAGCUGGAACUCAGCAUUGAUGGCAUUGAUUCAAAAUCCAGGAAAGAGUUGCUCCAUCAUUUACAGCGUAUCGUUCAGCUGAUGGCACAUUAAUCUUGUCUGCUUUCAAAGCCUCUGGGUUUCAUUCAGGAGAACAGUAGAUGAGCUGCUCGGAGCACACUUUCAGCUUUGUGAUGAUACCCUGUAGGAAAUGUUGAUCUUUUUUAUUUUAUUUUAUUUAUUUUUUUGCUUUCGAUUACACCACAUUGUCAGUUUUGUGUUCUUGAACAUGUGGCUUAUCAUUUUUAUAUUAGCUCACUUUGUUUCACCAAUCUGUCCUGUUUAACUCUGGUCCUUUAAUAGGUUUGAUAAGCUCUCUGGCUGGAGGGUCCAGGACAUCAAUUGUUCUUGUAAGAAAAUCAAUCCGCAAAGACUUAAACACGACUUAGGCAACUCAUCCAUCACAUCAUCACUUUGUGUUUUAACAGAGUUGUAAUUUCACUGCACAUUAAUAAGGACAAAAAAUUAUGUGAACAAUGUCAGUGUCAACCAACUAUGCCUGCAGCCUGAACAAAGCUGCUGAUGAAUAUUUAAAGAAGCAGAAAAUACUCCCAAUUGGUUUAAUCCAAGGGUUGUGUCAACAGACCUUGCAAAACACGAAGGACCAAGGUGAUGAUCACUGUCAUAACGUUUUUAUCUGGACAUGUAUUUGUAAUAAAGAUAAGUGGAACUCAAUAUACUGAUACAGAGAAAAGAGUUUGAGGCAGAUACACAGUGUGCAGCAUCAUCAAUGUCAACAUUACUUCUCACUCACAACUACCUGCUCCUUUCACAAAACUGCUCAAUCAGGGUAAAGUUUGUUAAAACACUGUUUCACUGAGUUGGGAGUUUAUAUUCUUAAUGUAACUCCAACAUUGGGUGGUCUUGUCUGAGCUUAAAAGUGAGAAGAUGAAAAGUUAACUGAAAAUAAAAUAGGCAUUUCUCAUCUUAACAGUUUCACUAUUAACUAAAAAAAGAAAGAAACACUCAGAGUCAUUCAAAACUGGACUUUCCUGCACUGGAAACUGGGCUCAUUGCUGCACUUGCCCCAUUACUAAAGAAUGUGUGUUCCUGUAUUUCAUAAGAGGGUUAUGUGACUCCUCUGGACCCAAACCCCAGCACGCACACACGCACACAAGCACAAUCAGUGCCUGUAACUGGGAAUGAAGUCCUAAAUACGUUUACGCAAGAAAAGAAAAAUCUGUACAUUAUAUCUAAAAGCCAUAAGUGUAUAGUGUCUCAAACCUUUCCUGCAACUUAGGGAUGUACAUGUGUAGUCGACUGAACAAUUAAAUGUCAUCACUCUUAUUGGUCAACUCCAGAAGUACCAACCAGUUAAAUAAUUUGUGUAAAAUGUUUAUUCCUGUCGGCCUUUUUAUUACUGUAGACCUGGAAUGUUUUGUCUAAGCUGUAGGACAGCCACCCACCAACAACCAGAGCUGUAGCUCUAGCUAGGGGUGAUUGCCAUUAUGCCAUAACGCUCUACCAUCCAGAUGCAAACAAGCACAGAUGGAUGGUUUAGUAGUAUUCUGAUUUAGAAUAUGGAGAUUAAGUUGUAUGUAGGGUGUUUGGUUUACAAGACCAGAGCAAUGUGUAUCCAGCAUAGACAUACAAUCCUCUGCAGGGAGGACGGAGUCCUGCUCGUGUUUGCCACACUCAAAAAACAAUUUGACAUUAUUUACACACAGACUCUGAUACUGUGUUAAUCCAUGUUGAAUAAAUUAUGCUCAAUUUCAA